UACGAUAAGGAUGAGCGUCAUUCAUCUUUAAUGGGUGUAAAGGGUAUGCAGGCUGUCUUUAUAAAAAGGAUAAAUAAAUUGUUGUGUAACUACUAGAUAAAUUAUCCGUUGGUGAAAAGACUAGAGUAAUACAAAAGAAAGAGGAAUUUCAAAUGGAAGGAUGAUAUCUAUAGAUAUUUGAAGGAACUCCUUAGGCGAAGGCUUCUUUCUAAAUUUUUACUGACGCUAAGAUACGAAAGUGUGGGUAGCAAAAAGG
rnacentral:rRNA from 1 species